ensembl:miRNA
GCAGUCACUGACGUGAAGGGACCACAUCCUGCUUCAUGUCAGCGACUCCUGCCCCUUGGUCU